rnacentral:rRNA from 1 species
UACGUAGGGUGCGAGCGUUGUCCGGAAUUAUUGGGCGUAAAGAGCUUGUAGGCGGUUUGUCGCGUCUGCCGUGAAAAUUCGAGGCUCAACCUCGAACUUGCGGUGGGUACGGGCAGACUAGAGUGUGGUAGGGGAGACUGGAAUUCCUGGUGUAGCGGUGAAAUGCGCAGAUAUCAGGAGGAAUACCGGUGGCGAAGGCGGCAUCCUGGACCGGCAUUGACGCUGAGGAGCGAAAGCCAGGGGAGCAAACGGG